rnacentral:rRNA from 1 species
UACAUGGGGUGCAAACGUUGCUCGGAAUUACUGGGCGUAAAGCGCACGUAGGCGGAUAUUUAAGUCAGGGGUGAAAUCCCAGAGCUCAACUCUGGAACUGCCUUUGAUACUGGGUAUCUUGAGUAUGGAAGAGGUAAGUGGAAUUGCGAGUGUAGAGGUGAAAUUCGUAGAUAUUCGCAGGAACACCAGUGGCGAAGGCGGCUUACUGGUCCAUAACUGACGCUGAGGUGGCGAAAGCGUGGGGAGCAAACAGG